GACGAACGCUGGCGGCGUGCCUAAUACAUGCAAGUAGAACGCACAGUUUAUACCGUAGCUUGCUACACCAUAGACUGUGAGUUGCGAACGGGUGAGUAACGCGUAGGUAACCUGCCUGGUAGCGGGGGAUAACUAUUGGAAACGAUAGCUAAUACCGCAUAAUAUUAAUUAUUGCAUGAUAAUUAAUUGAAAGGUGCAAUUGCACCACUACCAGAUGGACCUGCGUUGUAUUAGCUAGUAGGUGAGGUAACGGCUCACCUAGGCGACGAUACAUAGCCGACCUGAGAGGGUGAUCGGCCACACUGGGACUGAGACACGGCCCAGACUCCUACGGGAGGCAGCAGUAGGGAAUCUUCGGCAAUGGACGAAAGUCUGACCGAGCAACGCCGCGUGAGUGAAGAAGGGUUUCGGACCGUAAAGCUCUGUUGUAAGAGAAGAACGGGUGUGAGAGUGGAAAGUUCACACUGUGACGGUAUCUUACCAGAAAGGGACGGCUAACUACGUG
rnacentral:rRNA from 1 species